GGGACUGAAGCUCAGUGGUAGAGCACUUGCUUAGCAUGUGUGAGACACUGAGUUCAAUCCUCAGCACCA
rnacentral:tRNA from 1 species